CUGUGGUUAGAUCCAGAAUACCAGGUUUGCUUUGGGGGGGAUAUCAAACAUUCUUAAGAAAACCUCUAUUUCCUGUAUUAGGAAGAAGCCAGACCCUGCUGGAGGUGGACUGGGUGGGAAGUUGUGAGCAGGGGUCUGUGGAGGGAGGCUGGCCCACCCAGAGCAAUUUGGUUCCUGGACUCAAGCAAAUUUUAUCUAAAUUCUGAUUUUCUCUCUCAACAGCCUGUUCCUAGAUGUUGUAGUUCUUUGACUCAAGGAUUUACUGGAUGGACAGUGACCUCAUAGGAGGGAAAGGAGCAUUUGGAACAGCCAGAAGAGAAGGCCCUAGAUUAAGCCUGGGCCAGUGACAGAGCCUCACCGUCUGGGGAUGGACGUUUCCCCAGGAAGUGCCACUGAAAUGAAAGUUACAGCUCACCUUCCCAGUGAUAUUAGUGACAGCUGGGCAGCACAACUUCUCUGCAGCCUUCCGUCACCACAGCUCAUCUUGAAGCUCUGACUGCAUGUUGCCAGUGUUUAAAAUCAGAGUUUGGGGUGAGUGAAUGUGGCAGGGGAAACCCUCCCUUGAGUUUUGAUUAUACCUAGGAUUAUUGGAUAUUAAGUUCGGAGAAAUAAAGACAUUCAAGAACAUAAAUGGGAGUUCCCGUCAUGGCACAGUGGUUAACGAAUCUGACUAGGAACGAUGAGGUUGCGGGUUCGAUCCGUGGCCUUGCUCAGUGGGUUAAGGAUCUGGCGUUGCCGUGAGCUGUGGUAUAGGUCACAGACAUGGCUCGGAUCUGGCGUGGCUGUGGCGUAGGCCAGCAGCUACAGCUCCCAUUGGACUCCUAGCCUGGGAAUCUCCAUAUGCCACAGGAGUGGCCCUAGAAAAGGCAAAAAGACAAAAAAAAAAUAGCAUAAAUGUAUGCUUGAUCCCAGAAAUGUGAGGAAUCCACAUCUUAUGCCUCCUCUCCUUUGCCUUGAAUGGAUCCUGGCCCAGC
rnacentral:lncRNA from 1 species